AAAGACUUCUGUGUCAAGGAUACUUCAGCUGGAUAAAUGGAGAAUCAUUUGGCAGCCUCAUUGCUAAUCCUGUGGAUUCAUUUUGGCCGAGUGAGCAGCGUACCGAAUGUGGCACAGAGUCCUCGGUCACUUCAUGUGCAGGAGGGAGAGAGCACCAACUUCACCUGCAGCUUCCCUUCCAGUUCCUUCUACGGCUUACACUGGUACAGACAGGAACCUGCAAAAAGUCCCAAGAUUCUGUUUGUAAUAUCUGUAAAUGGGGAUGAAAAGCAGGAAGGACGAGUGAAAGUCACUCUAAAUACGAAGGAGGGUUACAGCUUCUUGUACAUCAAAGGAUCCCAGCCUGAAGACUCAGCCUCUUACCUCUGUGCCUCGACACAGUGCUUCUCAGGCACCUGCAGCCCAUACCCGAAGCCGUGGCUGGUGCUGCUCUGCUCCCAGCGUCAACAAAGAGCCAUAUGUGCAGAGGAAAGGGCAAAUUCAGUGAAUUACAGGGUUUCAGUAAUUGAGGGACUAUGCAGACGUACAUGAAUAAAUAUUCUAAUAAUUGUAGCUCUCUGUUCAGCUGGGCUGUUCCUACUCACUGCAUCCCCAACUCCUACCAAUACACUAACCAUAGCAUUGAG